AGCGAACGCUGGCGGCAGGCCUAACACAUGCAAGUCGAGCGCCCCGCAAGGGGAGCGGCAGACGGGAGAGUAACACGUGGGAACGUACCCUUUGGUUCGGAACAACCCAGGGAAACUUGGGCCAAUACCGGAUAAGCCCUUACGGGGAAAGAUUCAUCGCCGAAGGAUCGGCCCGCGUCUGAUUAGCUAGUUGGUGGGGUAACGGCCCACCAAGGCGACGAUCAGUAGCUGGUCUGAGAGGAUGAUCAGCCUCACUGGGACUGAGACACGGCCCAGACUCCUACGGGAGGCAGCAGUGGGGAAUAUUGGACAAUGGGCGCAAGCCUGAUCCAGCCAUGCCGCGUGGGUGAUGAAGGCCCUAGGGUUGUAAAGCCCUUUCGGCGGGGAAGAUAAUGACGGUACCCGCAGAAGAAGCCCCGGCUAACUUCGUGCCAGCAGCCGCCGUAAGAC
rnacentral:rRNA from 1 species